rnacentral:rRNA from 1 species
GAUGAACGCUGGCGGCGUGCCUAACACAUGCAAGUCGAACGGAGUCGUUUUGGAAAUCUCUUCGGAGAUGGAAUUCUCGACUUAGUGGCGGACGGGUGAGUAACGCGUGAGCAAUCUGCCUUUAAGAGGGGGAUAACAGUCGGAAACGGCUGCUAAUACCGCAUAAAGCAUUAAAUUCGCAUGUUUUUGAUGCCAAAGGAGCAAUCCGCUUUUAGAUGAGCUCGCGUCUGAUUAGCUAGUUGGCGGGGUAACGGCCCACCAAGGCGACGAUCAGUAGCCGGACUGAGAGGUUGAACGGCCACAUUGGGACUGAGACACGGCCCAGACUCCUACGGGAGGCAGCAGGGGGGAAUAUUGCGCAAUGGGGGAAACCCUGACGCAGCAACGCCGCGUGAUGGAAGAAGGCCUUCGGGUUGUAAAGAUCUUUAAUCAGGGACGAAACAAAUGACGGUACCUGAAGAAUAAGCUCCGGCUAACUACGUG